UACGUAGGUGGCAAGCGUUGUCCGGAAUUAUUGGGCGUAAAGCGCGCGCAGGCGGUCCUUUAAGUCUGAUGUGAAAGCCCACGGCUCAACCGUGGAGGGUCAUUGGAAACUGGGGGACUUGAGUGCAGAAGAGGAAAGCGGAAUUCCACGUGUAGCGGUGAAAUGCGUAGAGAUGUGGAGGAACACCAGUGGCGAAGGCGGCUUUCUGGUCUGUAACUGACGCUGAGGCGCGAAAAGCGUGGGGAGCAAACAGG
rnacentral:rRNA from 1 species